GCCGAAGUGGCGGAAUUGGUAGACGCGCUAGUUUCAGGGACUAGUAAACGUAUGUUUGUGGGAGUUCGAGUCUCCCCUUCGGCACCA
rnacentral:tRNA from 1 species